CACCCGUAGAACCGACCUUGCGGGGCCUUCGCCGCACACAAGCUCGUGUCUGUGGGUCCGU
rnacentral:pre_miRNA from 1 species